CGCGGGCCGCCGGCAGCCCCCCGGGGGAGCGCCGCGGUCCUCGGGGCGCCCCGCCGCCCCACGGCGCCUCCUUCUCCACCCCCAGCACUCCACUGGAGCGGUCGCCGCCGGGCAGCGCUCUCUUUGACGAGGAGAGCCUCCGCGGGAAGCGGAGCCCCGGCUGCGAGCUACCCUUCUUGGCGCGCACCCCCUCCGCCCUGGCGCUGAGCGGCACCGCCAGCCCCGCCAACAGCAUCUUCUCCUCGCCCCGGCGCUGGCUGCAGCAGAGGAAGGGGCAACCCUCGCCGCCGGAGCCUCGCCCCGCCGCCUACGUCGUGUGGAAAUCCGAGUUUUCAGGGCUCCACAGAAAGUAACUGCUCAUGAAGUACUACCUCAUCUCCGUCUCUCAGCUUCAGUAGCUCUAGCCUGGAUGGUAAGCGUCUCAUAGUGUUACAAAGAAUCGAAACAAGCAAUUUGUGGGAUCAAAACAA
rnacentral:lncRNA from 13 species